rnacentral:rRNA from 1 species
UACGUAGGGUGCGAGCGUUAAUCGGAAUUACUGGGCGUAAAGCGUGCGCAGGCGGUUUUGCAAGCCGGAUGUGAAAUCCCCGGGCUCAACCUGGGAAUGGCAUUCGGGACUGCAAGGCUGGAGUGCGGCAGAGGAGACUGGAAUUCCUGGUGUAGCAGUGAAAUGGGUAGAUAUCAGGAGGAAUACCGAUGGCGAAGGCAGGUCUCUGGGCUGACACUGACGCUCAUGCACGAAAGCGUGGGGAGCAAACAGG